AGGAUGAACGCUGGCGGCGUGCCUAACACAUGCAAGUCGAACGGAAUUUACAUGAAGCCUAGCGAUUGUAAAUUUAGUGGCGGACGGGUGAGUAACGCGUGGGUAACCUGCCUUGUACUGGGGGACAACAGUUGGAAACGACUGCUAAUACCGCAUAAGCGCACAGCUUCGCAUGAAGCAGUGUGAAAAACUCCGGUGGUACAAGAUGGACCCGCGCCUGAUUAGCUGGUUGGUGAGGUAACGGCCCACCAAGGCGACGAUCAGUAGCCGGCCUGAGAGGGUGAACGGCCACAUUGGGACUGAGACACGGCCCAAACUCCUACGGGAGGCAGCAGUGGGGAAUAUUGCACAAUGGGGGAAACCCUGAUGCAGCGAUGCCGCGUGGAGGAAGAAGGUUUUCGGAUUGUAAACUCCUGUCGUAAGGGAAGAGGAAGGACUGUACCUUACAAGAAAGCUCCGGCUAACUACGUGCCAGCAGCCGCGGUAAUACGUAGGGAGCGAGCGUUGUCCGGAAUGACUGGGUGUAAAGGGAGCGUAGGCGGGAUGGCAAGUCAGAUGUGAAACCUGAGGGCUCAACCUUCAGACUGCAUUUGAAACUGCUGUUCUUGAGUGAAGUAGAGGUAAGCGGAAUUCCUGGUGUAGCGGUGAAAUGCGUAGAGAUCAGGAGGAACAUCGGUGGCGAAGGCGGCUUACUGGGCUUUUACUGACGCUGAGGCUCGAAAGCGUGGGGAGCAAACAGGAUUAGAUACCCUGGUAGUCCACGCUGUAAACGAUGAUUACUAGGUGUGGGGGGAUUGACCCCUUCCGUGCCGCAGUUAACACAAUAAGUAAUCCACCUGGGGAGUAC
rnacentral:rRNA from 1 species